ensembl:miRNA
UGGCCGACGGGGCGCGCGCGGCCGGGAGGGGCGGGGCGGACGCAGAGCCGCGUUUAGUCUAUCGCUGCGGUUGCGGGCGCUGUGGGGACCCUGUGCUG